CCCACUAGAAUCAACACUCAGAUAUACCACUGGUGUUAACCCCACUAGAAUCAACACUCAGAUAUACCACUGGUGUUAACCCCACUAGAAUCAACACUCAGAUAUACCACUGGUGUUAACCCCACUAGAAUCAACACUCAGAUAUAACACUGGUGUUAACCCCACUAUAAUCAACACUCAGAUAUAACACUGGUGUUAACCCCACUAGAAUCAACACUCAGAUAUAACACUGGUGUUAACCCCACUAGAAUCAACACUCAGAUAGAACCAUGGUGUUAACCCCACUAGAAUCAACACUCAGAUAGAACCAUGGUGUUAACCCCACUAGAAUCAACACUCAGAUAGAACCAUGGUGUUAACCCCACUAGAAUCAACACUCAGAUAUACCACUGGUGUUAACCCCACUAGAAUCAACACUCAGAUAGAACCAUGGUAUUAACCCCACUAUAAUCAACACUCAGAUAUACCACUGGUGUUAACCCCACUAGAAUCAACACUCAGAUAUACCACUGGUAUUAACCCCACUAGAAUCAACACUCAGAUAGA